UGUCCCCAUGUCCCACAGCCUGUCCCUGUCCCCAGGGAGAUGACCCACCUGCAGAAGGAGGUGACGGCCAUCGAGACGAAGCUGGAGCAGAAGCGCAGUGACCGCCACAACCUGCUGCAGGCCUGCAAGAUGCAGGACAUCCGCCUGCCGCUGGCCCGGGGCUCCAUGGACGACAUCAGCCAGGAGGAGGUGGGACAGGGACAGGGGACAGCCCUGAGCCACCCUCUGUGUCCCCUCUGUGUCCCCUCUGUGUCCCCUGUGUGUCCCAAUGUCCCCUGUGUGUCCCAAUGUCCCCUGUGUGUCCCAAUGUCCCCUGUGUGUCCCAUGUCCCUUGUGUGUCCCAUGUCCCCUGUGUGUCCCCUGUGUGUCCCAUGUCCCCUGAUGUCCCCCCUGUCCCCUGAUGUCCCCCCCGUGUCCCCAGGGCGGUGGCACUGGCGAGGAGCCCGGGGGCAGCUCCCAGCGCAGCUCCAGCCUGUACGCGCGCGAGGCGCUGAUCGAGAUCGACUACAGCGACCUGCCCGAGGAGCUCAAGGUGAGACGGGCACACCUGGGCACACACCUGGGCGUGGGCACACACCUGGGCACACACCUGGGCAUGGACACACACCUGGGCACUGCCAGCACACCUGGGCACACACCUGCGCAUGGGCACAUACCUGGGCAUGGACACACACCUGGGCAUGGGCACACACCUGGGCAUGGACACACCUGGGCGUGGGCACACCUGGCACACACCUGGGCACUGCCAGCACACCUGGGCACACACCUGGGCAUGGGCACACCUGGGCACUGCCAGCACACCUGGGCACUGCCAGCACACCUGGGCACACACCUGGGCAUGGGCACACACCUGGCACACACCUGGGCAUGGACACACACCUGGGCACACACCUGGGCGUGGGCACACACCUGGCACACACCUGGGCAUGGACACACACCUGGGCACACACCUGGGCGUGGGCACACACCUGGGCAUGGACGCACCUGGGCGUGGGCACACACCUGGGCAUGGACACACACCUGGCACACACCUGGGCACUGCCAGCACACCUGGGCACACACCUGGGCAUGGGCACACACCUGGCACACACCUGGGCAUGGACACACACCUGGGCACACACCUGGGCGUGGGCACACACCUGGGCACAGCCACACACCUGGGCACACCUGGCCAUGGGCACACCUGGGCACUGCCAGCACAUCUGGCCACGCCCUGACCCCACCUGACAUCUGACCCCACCCACUCUGCCCCAACCGUUUCUGGCCCCUCCCACUCGUGUUCCCAUUUCCUGUGUCCCAUGGCCCCCUGUCCCCGUGUCCCCGUGUCCCAUAUUGCCCCAUGUCCCCCAUGUCCCCCAUGUCCUGUGUUCCCUGAUGUCCCCAUGUCUCCUAUCUCCAUGUCCCGUAUCCCCGUGUCCCCGUGUCCCCAUGUCCCUGCUGUCCUUGCUGUCCCCUGCUGUCCUGGUGUCCCUGCUGUCCUCACGUCCCCUGUUGUCCCUGUGUCCCCUGAUGUCCCCGUGUCCCUGUCCCUGUGUCCCUGUCCCUGUCCCCGUGUCCCUGUCCCCGUGUCCCUGUCCCUGUCCCCACGCCAAUGUUCCCGUCCCCAGUGUGAUCAUGGUGGACGAGGCCCACGAGCGCACCCUGCACACGGACGUGUCCCAGAUCGGAAGAGGACACCUGGGUGUGGGGACACUCGGGUGUGGGGACACUCGGGUGUGGGGACAGCCAGCUGUGGGGACACCUGGGUGUGGGGACACUCGGGUGUGGGGACACUCGGGUGUGGGGACAGCCAGCUGUGGGGACACCUGGGUGUGGGGACACUCG
rnacentral:lncRNA from 12 species